rnacentral:rRNA from 1 species
UGCCAGCAGCCGCGGUAAUACGGAAGGCCCGAGCGUUAUUCGGAAUCACUGGGCUUAAAGCGUACGCAGGCGGACUUGUAGGUAUCUUGUGAAAUCCCACGGCUCAACCGUGGAACUGCAGGGUAAACCACAAGUCUUGAGACAAGUAGGGGUCAGUGGAACGAUAUGUGGAGCGGUGAAAUGCGUAGAUAUAUAUCGGAACGCCAAUGGCGAAGGCAGCUGACUGGGCUUGUUCUGACGCUCAGGUACGAAAGCGUGGGUAGCGAACGGGAUUAGAUACCCCGGUAGUCCACGCCGUAAACGAUGCACACUAGGUCGCGGUACCUCUCAUGGUUUCGCGGCCGAAGGUAAACUGGUAAGUGUGCCGCCUGGGGAGUACGGUCGCAAGAUUAAAACUCAAAGGAAUUGACG